UGGAAAAAAUAUUGAAGAUGUAUGGCAUGUUUGAGUCACAAGGAAAGAGGAAGCAGGGAGGGCAGAAGGAUGAAUAAGGCCACUGCUCCAAGCACAUGAAGCAGCCCCUGAAGGGUGGGCAGUAGGGAAAGAGCCAGGGCGAAGCCUGCUCUGAAUUCUUGCCCAGAGCAUUCUAGGAGACACACUGCUUUAGAGCAAUAGAAGACCAGGGUGAUGUGAAAAAGAGACACUUCUCAAGCCUGGAGAUGAGACCUGGGUUACAGGAACUAGUGACAGAGUUAUGUAAAACCAAGCUUCACAGAAAAAGCUUGGACAGAAAAGCUGACUCAGUAUCUCUGAGUUACGUAUAUCUUCACAGGGGAGGAGAUGCAAACUGAGGCCCUGCUUGCACACUCCAUCCACCUGGUAUAGCUUGUCUGCUUCCAA